rnacentral:rRNA from 1 species
GAAUCUGCGAACGGCUCAUUAUUAACACCCGUAAUCUACCCAGUUUUCGUAUCCAAAACGGAUAUCUGCGUUAAUUUUGGAGCUAAUACGUGCACCAAAGCACCGCCAGCAAUGGUAGUGCGCACAUAUUAGAUCAAGACCUAUUGGGGCAACCCACUUGAUGACUCUGAAUAUUUUUGCGGAUCGCAUGGUCUUGUACCGGCGACGUACUGGUCGAGCGGGUGCCCUAUCAACUAUUGAUGGAAGUCUAUGUGUCUUCCAUGGUUGUAACGGGUAACGGAGAAUAAGGGUUCGACUCCGGAGAGCUAGCCUUAGAAACGGCUAUCACAUCCAAGGAAGGCAGCAGGCGCGUAAAUUACCCACUCUCAAUUCGAGGAGGUAGUGACUAUCAAUAACGAGACAGAUCUCUUUGAGGUCUGUCAUUGAAAUGAGCACAACUUAAAGACUUUAACGAAGUCUAUGGGAGGGCAAGUCUGGUGCCAGCAGCCGCGGUAAUUCCAGCUCCCAACGUGUAUAUCGUCAUUGCUGCGGUUAAAAAGCUCGUAGUUGGAUCUAAGUUCAUGACUGUAGUUCUCCAUGUGAGAUACUGCUAGUCUGGACUGUUUCGCCGGUUUUCCGUAGCUUCGGCUGCGGUGACUGGUGUUGUAACUUUGAUUAAAUCAAUGUGAUUAAAACAGGCGUUUGCUUGAAUGCUUUAUCAUGGAAUAAUAGAAUAUGACUUCGGUCCAUUCUGUUGGUCUUGGGAUUGAAGUAAUGAUUAAAAGGAACAACUCGGGGGCAUCCGUAUCGCUGCGUGAGAGGUGAAAUUCUUGGACCGCAGCGAGACGACCUAUUGCGAA